CGCGUGUACUGGUCCGGCCGGGCCUUUCCCUCUGUGGAACCCCAUGCCCUUCACUGGGUGUGGCGGGGAAACAGGACUUUUACUUUGAAAAAAUUAGAGUGCUCCAGGCAGGCCUAUGCUCGGAUACAUUAGCAUGGAAUAAUAGAAUAGGACGUGUGGUUCUAUUUUGUUGGUUUCUAGGACCGCCGUAAUGAUUAAUAGGGACAGUCGGGGGCAUCAGUAUUCAAUCGUCAGAGGUGAAAUUCUUGGAUUGAUUGAAGACUAACUACUGCGAAAGCAUUUGCCAAGGAUGUUUUCAUUAAUCAGGAACGAAAGUUAGGGGAUCGAAGACGAUCAGAUACCGUCGUAGUCUUAACCAUAAACUAUGCCGACUAGGGAUCGGACGAUGUUAUUUUUUGACUCGUUCGGCACCUUACGAGAAAUCAAAGUGCUUGGGCUCCAGGGGGAGUAUGGUCGCAAGGCUGAAACUUAAAGAAAUUGACGGAAGGGCACCACCAGGGGUGGAGCCUGCGGCUUAAUUUGACUCAACACGGGGAAACUCACCAGGUCCAGACACAAUGAGGAUUGACAGAUUGAGAGCUCUUUCUUGAUUUUGUGGGUGGUGGUGCAUGGCCGUCCUUAGUUGGUGGAGUGAUUUGUCUGCUUAAUUGCGAUAACGAACGAGACCUUAACCUGCUAACUAGCCCGUAUUGCUUUGGCAGUACGCCGGCUUCUUAGAGGGACUAUCGG
rnacentral:rRNA from 1 species